rnacentral:rRNA from 1 species
GAUGAACGCUGGCGGCGUGCCUAAUACAUGCAGGUCGAGCGAACAGACGAGGAGCUUGCUCCUCUGACGUUAGCGGCGGACGGGUGAGUAACACGUGGAUAACCUACCUAUAAGACUGGGAUAACUUCGGGAAACCGGAGCUAAUACCGGAUAAUAUAUUGAACCGCAUGGUUCAAUAGUGAAAGACGGUUUUGCUGUCACUUAUAGAUGGAUCCGCGCCGCAUUAGCUAGUUGGUAAGGUAACGGCUUACCAAGGCAACGAUGCGUAGCCGACCUGAGAGGGUGAUCAGCCACACUGGAACUGAGACACGGUCCAGACUCCUACGGGAGGCAGCAGUAGGGAAUCUUCCGCAAUGGGCGAAAGCCUGACGGAGCAACGCCGCGUGAGUGAUGAAGGUCUUCGGAUCGUAAAGCUCUGUUAUUAGGGAAGAACAAAUGUGGAAGUAACUAUGCACGUCUUGACGGUACCUAAUCAGAAAGCCACGGCUAACUACGUG